rnacentral:lncRNA from 1 species
CUUUCAAGUCUCUUGCAAAUUCCAGCAAUACUUAGUAAAAAUGUCGGGCCGUCACUCCAAACGUUCCCGUUCUUCUAGGCAUGGUGCAUCCCCCUCUACUGCUCCAAACUAUCCCUAUCAAGAUGGUUCCGUUCUAUAUUUUAAUUCUGACAUCGAGCUUACUCGAUUUUUAACCAAAUUUGAAAAGCGCGACAUUCCUCCUCCCCGCUUUUCAACCA